CCCUUAGAUGUUCUGGGCCGCACACGCGCUACACUGAAGGAGGCAGCGUGUACUCCUGGAUCGAAAGAUUUGGGUAACCCGCGAAUCUCCUUCGUGCUAGGGAUUGAGGUUUGCAAUUAUCCUUCAUGAACGAGGAAUUCCCAGUAAGUGCAAGUCAUAAGUUUGCGCUGACUACGUCCCUGCCCUUUGUACACACCGCCCGUCGCUACUACCGAUUGAAUGAUUUAGUGAGGACUUCGGACUGGGACCGAUGCGGCUUUCGGGCUGCGUCGGUAUUCUGGAAAGAUGUCCAAACUGUAUCAUUUAGAGGAAGUAAAANUCGUAACA
rnacentral:rRNA from 1 species